rnacentral:lncRNA from 1 species
AGAUAUUGUAUUUUCUUGGGUGAUCCGCAAAAACUAAGAGCAGACUCGUAUCUAUCUACGGAUUUCAAUAACAGCGAGCCAUAAAUAUUGAGAUACUAUUCGUGAUGAUGGAGCUAGUAGCUGACGAGUUCGUAUGAGCAUUCGAGGUUAGGUAUUUAUCAAAAGGAUUUACUAGUCAUAGACAUCAAAAGAGGGAAUUGAGGUAUGUUAAGGUUAUCCCUUUUUUCCUUUUGGCAUGAUCCCUAUGAUACAAAUGAAACGAGCAAACGCACAACUUUCAUAAACGACUCUAUUCAUAGAAGUACUAGGGUUGCGUAUGUUCUUAAUUCCCCAUAUGUCCUACUAUCAUAUCAUUUGUUCAUGGGUCUCAUGACAUUCCAAGAGAUCGUAUUGACUUACGUUAUUAUGCAUUGCAUUCAUUUAUGCAUAUGCAUUUACCCAUGACCGGAUGGCAUUAUAUACACGUAUAUUAUAUGUAUACGGGGUAUGGGUAAAGGUUACGACGUUAUAUAUGCACCACCACCUGAUCAGUUGUUAUACGAUGAUGAUUAUGCCCACAGUGGCCGUGAUGAUGUGAUGGGAUGCCCUCAGAAGCUUGAUGAUGUUAUGUACACAAAGACCUUUGCAUUAUAUGAUAUUUAUACACAUAUGCAUGACAUUAUAAAUAUUUCAUGAUUUACAAAGCUAUCCAGACUUACAGGUUGAGUCAUUUAAUCCAUGUUUCUUUCAUGUCCUUUAUAUACUGAUUUACAUGCCUUACAUACUCAGUACAUUAUUCGUACUGACGUCCUUUUAUUGUGGAUGCUGCAUUCAUGCCUGCAGGUAUAGAUAAUCAGUUGGACGAGCCCUCAUAGUAGACGAGGUUAGCAUUCAGCGAAGGAUCG